UGGAUUGAACAAUCAUUGUUAACAUUUGUAUUCUAAAUUUCUACUCAUAUUAUAUCUAUCUUGCUGACAUGGAUACAGGGCCGUUCAAUGUAACAAAUGUCUUUGAGUUCCAUAAUGGACGGUGGUAUAUGGUUCAUCAUCACAGUUCUGUGAUGAAUGGGGAUGUAGAGCAACAAAUUAUGCAUGGAUAGUAAUAGUAAGAGAGAUGAUAUGUUAUUAUGUCUGAUACUGGUCUCAGAAAAGGAAAUUGCAAUGGGGCCAAAAAAGUGUGAAAAAUAGAUUAAGUGGAUUAAAGUAAAUACAAAAGAUCGAUGGAAAAGAUUACAUGUGAAUCAACGUCCAAUACAUCGGUGAGACUUGUGAAAAACCAAGGUUGUGCAGUUGCAGGAGUUACUAAUUCAAAAGUAUAGUCCAAUUUUGGCAUGCAUUUUAGUUCUCUAGCAGUGUGUGCAUUUUUCAAUAUUGUAAGAGACAAGUCCAUUCCGGCAAUGCAAUAUCCAAUCAACCUUCAAUG